AUGAUGGCUGCCCCCAAGGGUCUUCUGCUGGUUGCUCUAGUCUUGCUACUUGGUGCUUUGGGGAGGAUGCACAAGUGGCAGGUCCGAUGACAGGUGCUCCAACACCUUGUCCCCGGCCCCCCCUUACCAAACAAACAUAAUAAAGCAAAUAGACAACUGUCCUGGUAAACCAGGCUCCAAAGAGUUAAAGAAACCAAAGACUAAAUUCUUGGACUUACAGAAUAGCAGAUAAGAAAAGAAAGAACUUGCUGAAAAGCUGAAACUAAGACUGUGCCCCGAAGAGUAAGAAACCAGUAACAGAAAUUCUUGAGUUUGCAGGAUAGCAGAUAAGAAAAGAAACAGCUUGCCGAAACACGGACACUCCCUGCACUUACGAGAUCAAGAAAAAAACUGGCUGAUGGCCGGGCCCGGUGCCUCAAGCCUGUAACCCCAGCACUUUGGGAGGCCAAGGUGGGCAGAUCACUUGAGGCCAGGAGUUCGAGACC
rnacentral:lncRNA from 1 species